UUCCAAAUCCCUCACUCACUCUCAUUCUCUUCUCUGUAUGUCUUUUUUCUUUCUUGUACAAUCUCCGUACUUGUGUAAAUUGAAAUAAGUUAUCUCUAUUGGGUAGAUAGUUGAACGAUAAAAAGUCCCGAUAAAUAUUUUACCGUGGUAGGAAUACUUUCUUAUGAGCGAAAAAUUAGUGAGUAGUUGUUUCGGGGUUGGGAAACACUUGAGAGACACUAUUUUGUAUCGACUCGUAUCUCCUUAUAGCUACCUUGUUAUAGUGAAGAAGUGCUCAUAGUUGUCGCUGCUGCCAUAGAUGUACUCUCUGCAUUGGAGGGGAACUAUGUAAAUACCGGUGUUAUUUACUUACCGUUUUGUGCUUGGCAAUUGCGAGAAUAUUCAUUGUAUAUUAUAGUAUUUAUAUUACCACAGUAAAUUGGUCUAAGGAGGUUGGCUUAAUUAUCAUCAUUAUGAUAUUCUAGUGGUAAUCACCCAUCCAUAGUGAUUUUAAGUGUGGCGGACUACCGCUACUUCCAACCUGCCUGGAAAAUAUUUACGAUAUAUG
rnacentral:lncRNA from 1 species